rnacentral:rRNA from 1 species
CCUCUAUGGAUUCCAGAGACGGAGUCCUUCACUUCGGGUGGGAGGAACACAGGUGCUGCAUGGCUGUCGUCAGCUCGUGUCGUGAGAUGUUGGGUUAAGUCCCGCAACGAGCGCAACCCUCGCCCUUAGUUGCCAUCAUUUAGUUGGGCACUCUAAGGGGACUGCCGGUGAUAAGCCGGAGGAAGGUGGGGAUGACGUCAAGUCCUCAUGGCCCUUACGGGCUGGGCUACACACGUGCUACAAUGGCGGUGACAGAGGGAUGCAAAGGGGCAACCCUUCGCAAAUCUCAAAAAGCCGUCUCAGUUCGGAUUGGGGUCUGCAACUCGACCCCAUGAAGUUGGAAUCGCCAGUAAUCGCAGAUCAGCACGCUGCGGUGAAUACGUUCCCGGGCCUUGUACACACCGCCCGUCACACCAUGGGAGUUGGCUUUACCUGAAGACGGUGCGCUAACCGCAAGGAAGCAGCCGGCCACGGUAGGGUCAGCGACAUGGGGUG